rnacentral:lncRNA from 1 species
UGUGUGUUCGUUCGUCUGUCCGGCUUCAAGUUAAAGUUUUCGGUCGAGGAAGUUUUUGAUAACGUUGAAGUCCAAUCAACUUGAAACUUAGUACACAUGUUCCCUAUGAUAUGAUCUUUCUAAUUCUAAUGCCAAAUUAGAGUGUAUACCCCUUUUUCACGGUUCAUUGAACAUAGAAAAUGAUAGUGUAGAUUGGGCAAUAUCCAUAAUGCGCCUCCAACUGAGGAACGUACACAUUUAUUCUUAGGUCCUUUACUUUCAAGAUCAACACAAAUGGUUAAACUCAGUCACUUGUUAAAAACUGAAACAUGUCGAAUAUCACUACACAGAG